rnacentral:tRNA from 2 species
GGCUCCGUGGUCAAGCGGUCAAGACAUCGCCCUUUCACGGCGGUAACACGGGUUCGAACCCCGUCGGAGUCA